rnacentral:rRNA from 1 species
CCCGCCUGGGGAGUACGAUCGCAAGAUUAAAACUCAAAGGAAUUGACGGGGCCCCGCACAAGCAGCAGAGCAUGCGGCUUAAUUCGACGCAACGCGAAGAACCUUACCAAGGCUUGACAUAUACAGGAAUAUGGCAGAGAUGUCAUAGCCGCAAGGUCUGUAUACAGGUGGUGCAUGGUUGUCGUCAGCUCGUGUCGUGAGAUGUUGGGUUAAGUCCCGCAACGAGCGCAACCCUCGUUCUGUGUUGCCAGCAUUUAGUUGGGGACUCACAGGAGACUGCCGGGGUUAACUCGGAGGAAGGUGGGGAUGACGUCAAAUCAUCAUGCCCCUUAUGUCUUGGGCUGCACGCAUGCUACAAUGGCUGGUACAAACGGCUGCAAUACCGCAAGGUGGAGCGAAUCCGAGAAAGCCAGUCUCAGUUCGGAUUGGGGUCUGCAACUCGACCCCAUGAAGUCGGAGUUGCUAGUAAUCGUAGAUCAGCAACGCUACGGUGAAUACGUUCCCGGGGCUUGUACACACCGCCCGUCACGUCACGAAAGU